AGUGAACGCUGGCGGUAGGCCUAACACAUGCAAGUCGAACGGCAGCACAGUAAGAGCUUGCUCUUACGGGUGGCGAGUGGCGGACGGGUGAGGAAUACAUCGGAAUCUACUUUUUCGUGGGGGAUAACGUAGGGAAACUUACGCUAAUACCGCAUACGACCUACGGGUGAAAGCAGGGGAUCUUCGGACCUUGUGCGAUUGAAUGAGCCGAUGUCGGAUUAGCUAGUUGGCGGGGUAAAGGCCCACCAAGGCGACGAUCCGUAGCUGGUCUGAGAGGAUGAUCAGCCACACUGGAACUGAGACACGGUCCAGACUCCUACGGGAGGCAGCAGUGCGGAAUAUUGGGCAAUGGGCGCAAGCCUGAUCCAGCCAUACCGCGUGGGUGAAGAAGGCCUUCGGGUUGUAAAGCCCUUUUGUUGGGAAAGAAAAGCAGCAGGUUAAUACCCCGCUGUUCUGACGGUACCCGAAGAAUAAGCACCGGCUAACUUCGUG
rnacentral:rRNA from 1 species